UACGUAGGGGGGCAAGCGUUGUCCGGAUUUAUUGGGCGUAAAGAGCGUGUAGGCGGCCAAGCAGGUCAGCUGUGAAAACUCGAGGCUCAACCUCGAGACGUCGGUUGAAACCGCUUGGCUAGAGUCCGGAAGAGGAGAGUGGAAUUCCCGGUGUAGCGGUGAAAUGCGUAGAUAUCAGGAAGAACACCCGUGGCGAAAGCGGCUCUCUGGAACGGUACUGACGCUGAGACGCGAAAAGCGUGGGGGAGCGAAACAGGG
rnacentral:rRNA from 1 species